rnacentral:rRNA from 1 species
CCUACGGGAGGCAGCAGUGAGGAAUAUUGGUCAAUGGGCGCGAGCCUGAACCAGCCAAGUCGCGUGAGGGAAGACGGUCCUAUGGAUUGUCAACCUCUUUUGUCGGGGAGCAAAAGACGCCACGCGUGGCGUUCCGAGAGUACCCGAAGAAAAAGCAUCGGCUAACUCCAUGCCAGCAUCCGCGGUAAUCCGGAGGAUGCGAUGGUUAUCCGGAUUUAUUGGGUUAAAAGUGUGCGCAGGCGGAAGAUAAAGUAAGCGUUAAAAUUGAGGGGCUCAACCUCUUCGAGCCGUUGAAACUGGUUUUCUUGAGUGAGUGAGAAGUAAGCGGAAUGCGUGGUGUAGCGGUGAAAUGCAUAGAUAUCACGAAGAACUCCGAUGGCGAAGGCAGCAUACCGGCGCUCAACUGACGCUCAUGCACGAAAGUGUGGGUAUCGAACAGGAUUAGAUACCCGAGUAGUC